CCGCUACGAGAUGGGCCCGCGUCCCAUUAGCUAGUUGGCGAGGUAACGGCUCACCAAGGCUACGAUGGGUAGCUGGUCUGAGAGGACGAUCAGCCACACUGGGACUGAGACACGGCCCAG
rnacentral:rRNA from 1 species